rnacentral:tRNA from 1 species
CUGCGUAUAGCUCAGCCUGGUCAGAGUACCGCCUUCGGAGCGCGGGGGUCUCAGGUUCAAAUCCUGAUACGCAGACCA